GCGCCUGUGCGGUCCCUCGGUAUUGCUGUCCAGGGUGCUGACUGCGGGCCGCCGCAGUCCCCGAGGCGAGCCCACCCCCGCCAGCCCUCCGCAGAGCCCUCCCACACAGCACGACCCGCCCGCCUCCCGCCAGCCUGCAGUUGACGUGGAGCAGGCGGCAUAAAUCAAGUCCGCGGGGCAUGGAGGCUGCUGCCGCUGCUGCAGCUCAGCUAGCCCGGGGCGGGAACUCCCCCUUCUCCUUUCGCCUCCCCAGCUCCCACAACCUGCCCUCUCCUUAAUUCUUCCCUGGAUAAUAGCGCCUUAACGACAAUAGUCAAACUAACAGGGUCAGAACGGCAGGGUUUGUUUGUUUUGGUCUACAGAAAAAAAAAAAAAAAAAACAAAAACCCAGCAGCCUAAAGACCUCUGAAAACUGCAUCGCAAGAUGGAAGAGAGAGAGUCCCACUACUGUUUCGAAAGAGUAAGUUAUUAUUCGAAACCAUGGAAGCCAAAUGCAGGGGACACUAGCACCAUAAAAUGAAUGAAGCUGAGUGCUUGAAAGACUGCUAGGAGGAGACACCAAGAACACCUCAUGAAUCUAAUUGGAGCAUUAUAAAGAAGAUUGAAUCUGGAUUCAAAUGCAGUUUCUUACAUAAGCCUGUGGCCAACAGGUGACCAAGGAUGCUGAGACAUUACCUGGGCCAGGAACAAUGUCCAGUGAGGCAUACAUCAAUCCCUGGAAAAUAGGAUGUUAAUGACCAGGACUAUGCAAGAAGCAAAACAGUUUGACAAGUGAGAGGACAACUAAGGGAUGUGCAAG